AGUGAACGCUGGCGGUAGGCCUAACACAUGCAAGUCGAACGGCAGCACAGGAGAGCUUGCUCUCUGGGUGGCGAGUGGUGGACGGGUGAGGAAUACAUCGGAAUCUACUCUGUCGUGGGGGAUAACGUAGGGAAACUUACGCUAAUACCGCAUACGACCUACGGGUGAAAGCAGGGGACCUUCGGGCCUUGCGCGAUUGAAUGAGCCGAUGUCGGAUUAGCUAGUUGGCGGGGUAAAGGCCCACCAAGGCGACGAUCCGUAGCUGGUCUGAGAGGAUGAUCAGCAACACUGGAACUGAGACACGGUCCAGACUCCUACGGGAGGCAGCAGUGGGGAAUAUUGGACAAUGGGCGCAAGCCUGAUCCAGCCAUACCGCGUGGGUGAAGAAGGCCUUCGGGUUGUAAAGCCCUUUUGUUGGGAAAGAAAUCCAGCUGGCUAAUACCCGGUUGGGAUGACGGUACCCAAAGAAUAAGCACCGGCUAACUUCGUGCCAGCCGCCGCGGUAA
rnacentral:rRNA from 1 species